UCAUUGGCCCUGAUAAUACUGUACACAACACUAAAAUACAACAGGAAAAUAUAAUGUUUAAGUUUAUAAAAUCUUACACAAACCACACAAGUAAACAGACAGAUCUGUUGUCUGUGUUUGGCUGUCCAUUUAGGUACACGACAAAAACGUACACAACACUUGUCAUGCCUUCCAUGUAUGACAAAGCUGUUUUUGUCUAUUUCUGGUGUUUUCUGUGUUUAUGAACUGAAAUAACAGGAAAUCAAGUACUCCCUCCGUCCCCCUGAGUAGUAUACAUUGGGGGACGGGGACGCGGCACGGACUUUAAUGCUCCUGUAAAGUGUAGUUGUGUAAUUUAUUUUUAAAAUUUUCUUUUUCUGAAUUAAAGUUUGGAUGUUAUAUUUUUAUUCAGAAAAAGAAAAUCUCAAAAAUAAGUUACGGAACUAUGUUUUAUAAGAGCAUUGAAAUGCGUGUCGAGCAGUUGAAAAGAAACGUAUACAAUUAAAUGGGACAGAGGGAGUAAUAGAACAGUAGAUUAUAGCUAGGCAGAGGUGAAUUAGGGCAGAGAGAUGUAGAAUUGAGAGAGAAAUGAGAGAGAGAGAUCAGAUCAGAUUAGAGAGAAAGAGUUUAGAGAGAGAAAGAGAGGGAAAAUCAGUUAGAGAAGAGAGAGAGAGAAACUUGGAAAAGAAGUUUUGUAUUUCAUUAUGCAUAAUAGCAGUUCACAGCACACAUAUUGUCUAUUUAUAGACACAGACUCGCACAGCUAGCAUAACAGAAUGGGGAAUUACUCAAUUACCCCUACUCUACUUUCCAGACCCUUCCUCAUAGCUAUUACUACCAUUACCAGUAAUACUCUAAACUUAACAUUCCUUCCCCCUUAGAAUCAUCUUGACCUCAAGAUGAACCAAAGUCUGGAAAGCUCUGAUGUAGUAAAUCUUCAUCUUCCCAGGUAGCCUCAUCCACACUGCGCCCUUUCCAGUGAAUCAGCUUCUGGUAAACUGUCCUGCUGUCCCUGAUUAUCUGUCUAGUAUCCAAUUGCCUGAGUGGCACCAGAUCAAAUACCCCCGUUCAUUGACCUGUGGCAGCUGAUGCAAUACCUUGGCUUGCCCCACAGCCUUCUUCAAUUGGGAAACAUGAAAAACAGGAUGAACCCUAGAAGUGGCUGGCAAAGACAGCUUGUAAGCCACUGAUCCAACCUUCUGUAAGAUCUCAUAGGGUCCAUAAUACUUUGCAGCUAACUUGAGAUUUAUUCUGACAGCCACAGAGACUUGCCUAUAAGGCUGCAGCUUGAGAUAGACAAACUCUCCUGGUUGAAACGUUCUCUCAGAUCUGUUGGCAUCAGCAUAGUGUUUCAUCUUGACCUGAGCUUCUGCCAACAACUCCUUAAGUGCACUCCAUUGUAUCUGCUUUUCAUUGAGGAAGUCCUCUAACCCCUGCAAGUUUGUAUGUUCCCUGUCUAACCAGGCUAAAUGUCUGGGUUUAGUGCCAUACACUAUUUCAAAUGGAGUAGUCUGCAAUGCAAUGCAGUGUGGUGAGUGGUGUUGUACCACCACUCUGCUGUGACUUGUCAUACACCUCAAGUACUGUUCUAAACAAUGAUUCACCCUCUCAGUGCUUCCAUCUGAUUGAGGGUGAUAAGCUGUGCACAGUUGCAACCUAGUGCCCGAAAGCUUAAACAAGGUCUGCCAGAACUCACUUAGGAAUAAGCUAUCCCUGUCACUUACUAUAGUUUCAGGUAACCCAUGUAAUCUAUAGAUCUGCUCAAAGAAAAUGUGAGCCAAUCCCUUAGCAGUUAUAGGGUGAGAUAGAGCCAAGAAAUGCCCAUACCUGCUAAAUCUAUCUAUGACUACCCAAAUCACUUCAAAUCCCCUUGACUUAGGUAAUCCAGUAAUGAAAUCCAUAGCAAUAUCUCUCCAUGGUUCCUUGGGAAUCUCUAAGGGUUUAAGCAAUCCUGGUUUCUUUAUUGUCUCCCCUUUAGCUUGUUGGCAAACUGCACAUUCCCUCACCCAUUGUCCCACAGCUUGGCUGAUAUUAGGCCAGUAAAAAUACUCUUUAAUCCUCCUCAAGGUAGCUUUUCUGCCAGAAUGGCCUUCCACUCCCUUACAAUGCAAUUCUUCAAACACAUGCUUCUUGAGAUUGCCAUUACAGCCUAUCACCCACUUUCCUCUAUAAAGGAGUAAUCCUUGCCUUAGGUAAUAUUCUUGUGGCCCCUUCUGUGUGAUAACAGCUUCAGUGAUGAUUUGUUGAAUCACAGCAUCUCCUUCAUACCUGUUUCCAAUCUGUUCCAUCCACACAGGUGUAACUGUGGUUAAUUGACUAAAAGAGCCCUCCUCUGUUGUCUCUGCUUGAGUACGAAGCUUAAUUGGUUCUCCCUGCCAUAGGAAUUUUAAGGUUUGCUUCUGAUAAUUACAGCUGAAACUUCCAAUCUUUGACAACCACUCUACUCCCAGAAUAAUUUGCCACUCCAAAGCAUCUACUACAUGCAUAUCAACACUGAACUCCACAUCAUUCCAAGUCCACUGAAGAUUAGGACACAGGAACUCACAAUUGAGAUUUGCUCCAUUAGGCAAAUUGAUAGAAAUAGGCUCUUGAGGAAUUAUGGUCAGGUUUAGUUGUUGGCAAAGGUUGGAUUGAAUCAAAUUUAAAGAGCUCCCUCCAUCAAUGAGCAUCAGUACUUCUCUACCUUGUAUCUUCCCUUUAAAUUGCAGUGGCUUGAAAUUUGUAGACUCAUCCUUCAUUACAGCUAAUAUGAUUUCCUCCUCACCCAAUUCAUCAUUAUCUCCACAGUUGAUAUCAUCACUUCCAGGUUCUUCCUCAGGAUUCUCUUCUGCCACAAUAAGAAACACCUGAGGCUUCUUACACUCAUGUCCUUUAACAAAUUUAUCACCACAAUAUAAACACAGUCCUUUCUUCCUCCUUUCCUCCCUUAGAGAAUAAGUCAAUGGCCUGGGUUUAGAGGUUAAGGUCUCAGUAGUCUUGUGAGAAGCCAACAAGGAAAUUUCAGCUGAGACUGCUACUGUACCUCCCAACAUCUUCUGAUUAGUAUUAUUGUUGCAUGUGGCCUUAUUAAAAUUUCCAGUAUAUUCUCUCUUCUUAGGCUGAUUCCCCAAAGUCUGCUCAUAAUACCUAGCCAACUUAAGAGCCUGCUCCAAGGUAACUGGCUCUAACAGCCUUAACAUUCCCCUGAUGUCAUUUUGUAAUCUUCCAAUGAAAUUUUCCAAGAAAUAUUCAUUGGUGAGACCAGGAAUCUUCAAAAGGAGUUGACCUCUGCAAUUUUCAAAGUCAUCAAAAUAAGCCUCAACUGUAGAAGUCUGCUGCAACUUCUUGAAUUUAUCAAAAACUAAUUCAGUAUCAGCCUCCCAAACCUUGCCAAGAAAGCCUGAGUGAAUUGUCCCCGUGUGGCAUUGUUCCUUCCAAUCAUAAAGGACUUGUACCAUGAUCUUGGGCACUCCACUGAGGUGCAUUGCCGCAAUAGCUGCCCUCUUCCAGUCAACCACCUCAUAGAUUGAGAAAUACUCCUCACAAUCCCUUAACCAUUCUAGAGCCUCACUACCUUCUUCUUUGAACACUGGAAAGCUUGAUUUGAGAUGCCUAAGGGUGUGAAUAUCCUGCCUGCCUUCAUUAACUUCCAACAAUUCCACAUCAUCUUCAAUUUCAUCUCUUUGAAAUCUGUGGUGUCCUCUUUGUCUCUCAUAAGCAGCAUGAUAAGGAUUCCUGAACACACCUCUCAUGCCAGUGACAACUGGAGGUUCCUCCUCCUCAUUCAGAAUUUCUUCUGCUGCGGGUGUAUCUCCCUUCAUAACACUCUGCAUUCCUGAGAUUAACUUCUCAAUUGAAGACUGUAGCUUAUCCAUUCUAUCAUUAGCUCCAGAUUUGCUUUGCUGAAUAUCCUCCUGAAGUGUUCUCAGUGUACCUUGCUGUGAGGUUUUAGCAGUGGUUGACCUAGUCUUUCUUGAGGUCAUUCUUUCUCAACUACUCCCUCUGUCCCUCUCAUUUGUUUACAGUUACUAUUUUGGGAUGUCCCUCUCAUUUCUUUACAUUACCAUAAAUAGUAAGUUUUCUCAUCCUUACCCCCCCUAUCUUCCCCCCCUAUCUCAUAUUUAACACUAAAAACUACUAUUACACCCACUAAUUUCCUCCACUAUCUCAAAUCUAUUAUUAAAUAUUGAUAGGUCCCACCACUUUACCCACUUUUCAUCUAACUUUACUCAUUUUUCAUACAUUGUCUUGGUCUCCGUGUCCCCCUCCAAUGUAAACAAUUGAGGGGGACGGAGGGAGUAGUUAUUAACUCUCAAAUUAAAACUUCCUUCCCUUACUGAGUUAACUCAAUACUUCUCCAGACAACAAUUCAAUCUCCAAACACACAGAACCUCAACAACAAAAAACACUAAUAGUAUAUACUAACAAAAACGGCUGUAAUCUAUAUAAUUUCAACAGCAACUCCAAAUCAAUCAAUAGAAAACUCCAAUCUAAGAGAGAAGUCACAGAACAGAGUCCCUGGACUGUUUUGAUCAAUUCUACAAAUUUACUUAUGCGAUUACAGUAAUUCCACAACCGCUCCAGUCUUUUUGAGUAGCACAAUGAGAUAAAAGCAGUGGCUGGAUCGAAUUUGAGUGCUCUAAUACCAAUUUGUCAUGCCUUCCAUGUAUGACAAAGCUGUUUUUGUCUAUUUUUGGUGUUUUCUGUGUUUAUGAACUGAAAUAACAGGAAAUCAAGUAAUAGAACAGUAGAUUAUAGCUAGGCAGAGGUGAAUUAGGGCAGAGAGAUGUAGAAUUCAGAGAAAU
rnacentral:lncRNA from 1 species